AACGAUCUGACAACGUGCGAUCUUAAUUUUCAAACAUUCCAUUUCUAAUCUGGUCUAAUUAUUCAAGAAACUUAUUCACUUGUCUUGACAACCUUGAAUAUCAAUAUCAUCCAAUCAUAGCGCUCUAAUUGGCGCAUGCUCAGAAGCCGUGUAAAGGAAUGAUGAAGUGUCAAUGCACCAUAAGCGUUACUUUUCUGGAAUCUUUCCGCGAUACUAAACGGCUGUUCGAGUAAAGCAGGUGUUUCGUUUAACGUCGAGAGAAUUGUCUUCGAGCAGAAAUAAAGAUGAGGACGGUUUUGGUGAUGCUUUUGUUUCUCUCCAUUAUUGUUUACAGCCAGGCGUGUGACUGCACAAUAUCAAGCGAUGUCCCAAAGGAAAGGCCCUGCAAGUGUGAAUGGAAUCCAAAUGCCCCAGAUUAUGGGAAGAUAACGAUGGAGAUAACACCGUUAGAUAAUUGACAAGGCCACGUGACAAUGAUUGGCAUGCCCAAAUAGAUGUAGAGAAACAAUGAUUGACAG